rnacentral:rRNA from 1 species
UGGGGAAUAUUGGACAAUGGGCGAAAGCCUGAUCCAGCCAUGCCGCGUGUGUGAAGAAGGUCUUCGGAUUGUAAAGCACUUUAAGUUGGGAGGAAGGGCAGUUACCUAAUACGUGAUUGUUUUGACGUUACCGACAGAAUAAGCACCGGCUAACUCUGUGCCAGCAGCCGCGGUAAUACAGAGGGUGCCAGCGUUAAUCGGAAUUACUGGGCGUAAAGCGCGCGUAGGUGGUUUGUUAAGUUGGAUGUGAAAGCCCCGGGCUCAACCUGGGAACUGCAUUCAAAACUGACUGACUAGAGUAUGGUAGAGGGUGGUGGAAUUUCCUGUGUAGCGGUGAAAUGCGUAGAUAUAGGAAGGAACACCAGUGGCGAAGGCGACCACCUGGACUAAUACUGACACUGAGGUGCGAAAGCGUGGGGAGCAAACA